rnacentral:rRNA from 1 species
CGCCUUGGCGGGUGCUUACCAUGCAGUCGAACGGUGAAGCAGAGCUUGCUCUGUGGAUCAGUGGCGAACGGGUGAGUAACACGUGAGCAACCUGCCCCUGACUCUGGGAUAAGCGCUGGAAACGGCGUCUAAUACUGGAUAUGAGCUGCGAUCGCAUGGUCAGCAGUUGGAAAGAUUUUUCGGUCUGGGAUGGGCUCACGGCCUAUCAGCUUGUUGGUGAGGUAAUGGCUCACCAAGGCGUCGACGGGUAGCCGGCCUGAGAGGGUGACCGGCCACACUGGGACUGAGACACGGCCCAGACUCCUACGGGAGGCAGCAGUGGGGAAUAUUGCACAAUGGGCGAAAGCCUGAUGCAGCAACGCCGCGUGAGGGAUGACGGCCUUCGGGUUGUAAACCUCUUUUAGCAGGGAAGAAGCGAAAGUGACGGUACCUGCAGAAAAAGCGCCGGCUAACUACGUGCCAGCAGCCGCGGUAAUACGUAGGGCGCAAGCGUUAUCCGGAAUUAUUGGGCGUAAAGAGCUCGUAGGCGGUUUGUCGCGUCUGCUGUGAAAUCCCGAGGCUCAACCUCGGGUCUGCAGUGGGUACGGGCAGACUAGAGUGCGGUAGGGGAGAUUGGAAUUCCUGGUGUAGCGGUGGAAUGCGCAGAUAUCAGGAGGAACACCGAUGGCGAAGGCAGAUCUCUGGGCCGUUACUGACGCUGAGGAGCGAAAGGGUGGGGAGCAAACAGGCUUAGAUACCCUGGUAGUCCACCCCGUAAACGUUGGGAACUAGUUGUGGGGUCCAUUCCACGGAUUCCGUGACGCAGCUAACGCAUUAAGUUCCCCGCCUGGGGAGUACGGCCGCAAGGCUAAAACUCAAAGGAAUUGACGGGGACCCGCACAAGCGGCGGAGCAUGCGGAUUAAUUCGAUGCAACGCGAAGAACCUUACCAAGGCUUGACAUAUACGAGAACGGGCCAGAAAUGGUCAACUCUUUGGACACUCGUAAACAGGUGGUGCAUG